rnacentral:rRNA from 1 species
CAGUCGACGCAUCACUUCGGUGAUGAGUGGCGAACGGGUGAGUAAUACAUAAGUAAUCUGGCCCAUACAGGGGGGGAUAACUGCUGGAAACGGCAGCUAAGACCGCAUAUGUGUAGAGAUCGCAUGAACUCUAUAUGAAAAGUGCUACGGCACUGGUAAGGGAUGGACUUAUGGCGCAUUAGCUAGUUGGCAGGGUAAAGGCCUACCAAGGCGACGAUGCGUAGCCGACCUGAGAGGGUGACCGGCCACACUGGGACUGAGACACGGCCCAGACUCCUACGGGAGGCAGCAGUAGGGAAUUUUCGGCAAUGGGGGAAACCCUGACCGAGCAACGCCGCGUGAAGGAAGAAGUAAUUCGUUAUGUAAACUUCUGUCAUAGAGGAAGAACGGUGGAUAUAGGGAAUGAUAUCCAAGUGACGGUACUCUAUAAGAAAGCCACGGCUAACUACGUGCCAGCAGCCGCGGUAAUACGUAGGUGGCGAGCGUUAUCCGGAAUUAUUGGGCGUAAAGAGGGAGCAGGCGGCACUAAGGGUCUGUGGUGAAAGAUCGAAGCUUAACUUCGGUAAGCCAUGGAAACCGUAGAGCUAGAGUGUGUGAGAGGAUCGUGGAAUUCCAUGUGUAGCGGUGAAAUGCGUAGAUAUAUGGAGGAACACCAGUGGCGAAGGCGACGAUCUGGCGCAUAACUGACGCUCAGUCCCGAAAGCGUGGGGAGCAAAUAGGAUUAGAUACCCUAGUAGUCCACGCCGUAAACGAUGAGUACUAAGUGUUGGGUGUCAAAGCUCAGUGCUGCAGUUAACGCAAUAA